GGGGGGUCCAAAUUGCUGACGAAGCAGAGAGUACCUCACGCAAAUAGUAACUGCAACUUUCAAAAUGCUUGCAGAGGAAGAAGCGAGCCCGACUCUCCCUCCAACAAGUUCUCCUAGGGUGGCACCAAAUCGCCUGUUGAUGGAUGGGAGGCUACUCGUGUAUUUACCAUCACGUGCAACGUCUCCGAAUCGGUUGAGGAGAUUAUCUCGUG
rnacentral:misc_RNA from 1 species